GUUGUAUGGUUAAGUGACUAAGCGUACACGGUGGAUGCCUUGGCAGUCAGAGGCGAUGAAAGACGUAGUAACUUGCGAUAAGCCCAGAUUAGGUAGUAACAACCAUUUGAGUCUGGGAUUUCUGAAUGGGGAAACCCACKURCAUAAGYAMGUAUCMUUAMCUGAAUACAUAGGKUAAKGAGGCGAACCGGGGGAACUGAAACAUCUAAGUACCCCGAGGAAAAGAAAUCAACCGAGAUUCCGAAAGUAGCGGCGAGCGAAAUUGGACUAGCCCUUAAGCUUUACACGCGUUAGACGAACGGUCUGGAAAGUCCGACGAUACAGGGUGAUAGUCCCGUAGUUGACGACGUGUGUUCAGUGAAAUCGAGUAGGGCGGGACACGUGAUAUCCUGUCUGAAUAUGGGGGGACCAUCCUCCAAGGCUAAAUACUACUGACUGACCGAUAGUGAACCAGUACCGUGAGGGAAAGGCGAAAAGAACCCCUGUGAGGGGAGUGAAAUAGAACCUGAAACCGUGUACGUACAAGCAGUAGGAGCAGGCUUGUCCUGUGACUGCGUACCUUUUGUAUAAUGGGUCAGCGACUUAUAUUCAGUGGCAAGGUUAACCAUCUAGGGGAGCCGUAGGGAAACCGAGUCUUAACUGGGCGUUCAGUCUCUGGAUAUAGACCCGAAACCAGGUGAUCUAGCCAUGGGCAGGUUGAAGGUUGAGUAACAUCAACUGGAGGACCGAACCGACUAAUGUUGAAAAAUUAGCGGAUGACUUGUGGCUAGGGGUGAAAGGCCAAUCAAACCUGGAGAUAGCUGGUUCUCCCCGAAAGCUAUUUAGGUAGCGCCUCGGACGAAUACUACUGGGGGUAGAGCACUGUUAAGGCUAGGGGGUCAUCCCGACUUACCAACCCUUUGCAAACUCCGAAUACCAGUAAGUACUAUCCGGGAGACACACGGCGGGUGCUAACGUCCGUCGUGGAGAGGGAAACAACCCAGACCGCCAGCUAAGGUCCCAAAUUACUACUAAGUGGGAAACGAUGUGGGAAGGCUCAGACAGCCAGGAUGUUGGCUUAGAAGCAGCCAUCAUUUAAAGAAAGCGUAAUAGCUCACUGGUCGAGUCGGCCUGCGCGGAAGAUGUAACGGGGCUAAGUAGUAAACCGAAGCUGCGGCAAURURCUUUUGYAYAUUGGGUAGGGGAGCGUUCUGUAAGCGGUUGAAGGUGUGUGGUAACGCAUGCUGGACGUAUCAGAAGUGCGAAUGCUGACAUGAGUAACGAUAAAGGGGGUGAAAAACCUCCUCGCCGGAAGACCAAGGGUUCCUGUCCAACGUUAAUCGGGGCAGGGUAAGUCGACCCCUAAGGCGAGGCCGAAAGGCGUAGUCGAUGGGAAACGGGUUAAUAUUCCCGUACUUCUUACAAUUGCGAUGGGGGGACGGAGAAGGCUAGGUGGGCCUGGCGACGGUUGUCCAGGUUCAAGUGCGUAGGCUUAAGAGUUAGGUAAAUCCGGCUCUUUUUAAGGCUGAGACACGACGUCGAGCUACUACGGUAGUGAAGUCAUUGAUGCCAUGCUUCCAGGAAAAGCCUCUAAGCUUCAGAUUGUAAGGAAUCGUACCCCAAACCGACACAGGUGGUCGGGUAGAGAAUACCAAGGCGCUUGAGAGAACUCGGGUGAAGGAACUAGGCAAAAUGGUACCGUAACUUCGGGAGAAGGUACGCUCUYGAYGGUGAAGUCCCUCGCGGAUGGAGCURWYGAGAGUCGCAGAUACCAGGUGGCUGCAACUGUUUAUUAAAAACACAGCACUGUGCAAAAUCGUAAGAUGACGUAUACGGUGUGACGCCUGCCCGGUGCCGGAAGGUUAAUUGAUGGGGUUAGACUUCGGUCGAAGCUCUUGAUCGAAGCCCCGGUAAACGGCGGCCGUAACUAUAACGGUCCUAAGGUAGCGAAAUUCCUUGUCGGGUAAGUUCCGACCUGCACGAAUGGCGUAAUGAUGGCCACGCUGUCUCCACCCGAGACUCAGUGAAAUUGAAAUCGCUGUGAAGAUGCAGUGUACCCGCGGCUAGACGGAAAGACCCCGUGAACCUUUACUACAGCUUGGCACUGAACAUUGACCCUACAUGUGUAGGAUAGGUGGGAGGCUUUGAAGCACGUACGCCAGUAUGUGUGGAGCCGUCCUUGAAAUACCACCCUUGUAGUGUUGAUGUUCUAACGUCGACCCCUUAUCGGGGUUGCGGACAGUGCCUGGUGGGUAGUUUGACUGGGGCGGUCUCCUCCCAAAGAGUAACGGAGGAGCACGAAGGUGGGCUAAUCACGGUUGGACAUCGUGAGGUUAGUGCAAUGGCAUAAGCCCGCUUGACUGCGAGAAUGACAAUUCGAGCAGGUGCGAAAGCAGGUCAUAGUGAUCCGGUGGUUCUGAAUGGAAGGGCCAUCGCUCAACGGAUAAAAGGUACUCCGGGGAUAACAGGCUGAUACCGCCCAAGAGUUCAUAUCGACGGCGGUGUUUGGCACCUCGAUGUCGGCUCAUCACAUCCUGGGGCUGAAGUCGCGAACCUCUGGUGUUCGGGUUGUGUCGCCAGACGCAUUGCCCGGUAGCUAAGUUCGGAAUCGAUAACCGCUGAAAGCAUCUAAGCGGGAAGCGAGCCCUGAGAUGAGUCUUCCCUGAUACUUUAAGUAUCCUAAAGGGUUGUCGGAGACUACGACGUUGAUAGGUCAGGUGUGUAAGUGCUGUGAGGCAUUGAGCUAACUGAUACUAAUUGCCCGUGAGGCUUAACCAUACAACACCCAAGGGGUUU
rnacentral:rRNA from 1 species